CUUGGCGCGGAGGAGCGGCACUUGGCGAGGGCUGCGGGCUGCUGCUGGAGGGCAAACGGCUUCCGCAUCCUCCCGGCCGCCGAAGGUGCAAUCCUAUGCAUGUUUACUUGGAAUAAGCCAUAUACCCAAUGAGCGUUGGCUUCAACUCUUUAACAACACGGCCUGAACAAUCUGCCGUCCACUCUUCUGUCUUCUACAUGUUGUAACAUCCAGCCUAUUGAAGGGUUGUGGUGAACUCGAAAGCUUACAGAACUAAAUUCCCUUGCCUCAGUGAAGAUUGGGCCAUGUCUCAGAAAAAGAACAAGAUUUGCAGAAAAACAACACUGGGACCACAACUGACAUCUACUUCUGUCUGAAGGAGUCAGCUGUCCUUAUUCUGCAUCUGCAUGCAAGAGUGUUUCUGUCUCUCUCACAGUGCAAAAGGCAUUGGGAAGGGGCACGUUUGCAUCAGGGAAAGAAAGCGGAGAUGUAAGAAGCUGCCUUUUUGUGAUUAAAUUGGGUAUGGGAAAGGAAGGAAAUACAGGGCUAGCGUCUGCCUACCUCCUUCUCUUUUGACCACUGAUAAGGGAGUCUCCCACCCAUUUGGUCGCCCAUUGAAGGCUGAGUAGGAUUGUUUUCUCCUACGAUACAGUGGGAUAGGUUGGGGGUUGCCUAUUCUACCUGAAAACUGUAACCGGAAUUCUCUGGCUUUGGAGACACACGGACAUUAGCAAGUUCACUUCUUUGCAACACCUCUCCCAUUUUCUGACUGGUAUAAAGACUCAAAUCUCCAUUCCUAGUCAUAUAUGAUUUAAUUUAUUAGAUUUAUAUUCUGCCCUCCCCACACCAGCAGGCUCAGAGCGGAUUACAAUUUACAAGAGAUGAUGAAGAGAUCUUGACUCUAAAAAGCUUAUACCGUGGAAACUCUUAUUAGUCUUUAAGAUGCUACUGAACCUGAACCUUGCCCAUCUACUUUCCGUACAUAGAAUCACAGAAUCAUAGAGUUGGAAGGAGCCAUACAGACCAUCUAGUCCAACCCCCUGCCCAGUGCAGGAUCAGCCUAAAGCAUCUCUGACAAGUAUUCAUCCAGCCUCUUCUUGAAAAUUGUCAGUGAGGGGGAGCUCACCACCUCCCUAGGCAGCUGAUUCCACUUUUGAACUACUCUGACUGUGAAAAAGUUUUUCCUAAUAUCCAGCCGGUACCUUUGUGCAUGUAAUUUAAGCCCAUUGCUUCGGGUCCUAUCCUCUGCUGCCCACUGGAACAGCUCCUUGCCCUCCUCCAAAUGACAGCCUUUCAGAUAUUUAAAGAGAGUGAUCAUGUCCCCCUCAGUCUCCUCCAAACUAAACAUUCCCAAGGCCCUCAGCCUUUCCUCGUAGGGCUCAGUCUCCAGACCCCUGAUCAUCCUCGUCGCUGUCCUCAGCACCCUCUCGAUUUUGUCCACAUCCUUUUUGAAGUGAGGCCUCCAGAACUGCACACAAUGCUCCAGGUGCAGCCUGACCAAGGCAGUAUAGAGAGGGGCUAUGACCUCCUGUGAUUUCGACGCUAUGGCCCCUUUGAUACAACCUAGGAUUGAAUUGGCCUUUUUUGCCACCGCAUCACACUGACUGCUCAUAUUUAGUCUACAGUCCACUCUUACUCCAAGAUCUUUCGCAUACACUAGUACCCAGAAGUGUAUCCUCCAUCCUGUAUUUGUGCUUCCCAUUUUUGUGGCCCAGAUGAAAUACUGUGUACUUGUCUUUGUAGAAUUGCAUCCUAUUCACAGCUGCCCACUUCUCCAGAGUAUUCAGGUCUUGUUGAAUUUUAAUUCUAUCUUCUUGGGUGUUUGCUACUCCUCCCAAUUUGGUAUCAUCAGCAAAUUUAAUGAGCAGCCCUUCCUUAGAAACAAAACGGAUAGCUAUAUUAGAUGCAUGAAGUGAGCUAUGCCUCCAAAAACCUAAUGCUGGAACAAGUUCUAUUUAACUCAUUUUAUUUUCACCAUUAAUUUUAAAAAAAGUCUUCUGCAGAAUUCUAUUCUUUCCUGCUAACAUGCCUUUUUGCUCAUCUUCUUUGAAGCUUUCUGCAUAUUCCAUCAGUCUUGUUCAACUUUCUUGCCUCCUCUUUUAUCCUAAGUGGUCUAUGCAGAAGUAGGACCCAUGUUAUUCAGGAGGGCUUACUCCCAAGAACAUGUUCUUAGGAUUGUACCUUUAGCCUUUGGCGUUCCCACCUACCUAGCAGGCUUGAGUUCCUGUUUCUCUCACAUAGUCUUCUGAUACCUAGGACCUGUGGAAAGUUUACUCAGGCACACUAGGCUUUUACUUCUAUCAAACAACAACACGGUCUGUUCACCUUCUACUCCUGAUUUUGUGUCUAUACCAGGACCCCACAGCAGCUCAGCCAAUGAACAGGAGGAUCCCCGCAAUGGGCACAUCACUGAUAAAAUAGUUUGCAGCUUAAAAUGAAUGUUUGUGUGAACUGGAUUAAGAUUUUAAUGGAUUUCUGUUGAUAUCCAUAAGUG